UACGUAGGGUGCAAGCGUUGUCCGGAAUUAUUGGGCGUAAAGAGCUCGUAGGCGGUUUGUCGCGUCGAAUGUGAAAACCCGGGGCUCAACCCCGGGCCUGCAUUCGAUACGGGCAGACUAGAGUUCGGUAGGGGAGUCUGGAAUUCCUGGUGUAGCGGUGAAAUGCGCAGAUAUCAGGAGGAACACCAGUGGCGAAGGCGGUGGUCUGGGCCGGAACUGACGCUGAGGAGCGAAAGCGUGGGUAGCAAACAGG
rnacentral:rRNA from 1 species